GACGAACGCUGGCGGCGUGCUUAACACAUGCAAGUCGAACGGAAAGGCCUGCAGCUUGCUGCGGGUACUCGAGUGGCGAACGGGUGAGUAACACGUGGGUGAUCUGCCUUGCACUUCGGGAUAAGCUUGGGAAACUGAGUCUAAUACCGGAUAGGACAGCUGUUUAGUGUCAGUUGUGGAAAGUUUUUUCGGUGCAAGAUGAGCUCGCGGCCUAUCAGCUUGUUGGUGGGGUAAUGGCCUACCAAGGCGUCGACGGGUAGCCGGCCUGAGAGGGUGUACGGCCACAUUGGGACUGAGAUACGGCCCAGACUCCUACGGGAGGCAGCAGUGGGGAAUAUUGCACAAUGGGCGGAAGCCUGAUGCAGCGACGCCGCGUGGGGGAUGAAGGCCUUCGGGUUGUAAACUCCUUUCGACAGGGACGAAGCUUUUGUGACGGUACCUGUAUAAGAAGCACCGGCUAACUACGUG
rnacentral:rRNA from 1 species